CAAAACCCCCUAAUUCUAUUUCAAUUAUUUUCUUUUAGUCCCUUUGAUUUUAGUAUUUAUUUUAGUGAUUAGUGAGUAAUUCAAUUAUUAAAUUUAAAUUAUUUUGAUAACAUAAUUGAGAAAUUCAAGUUAAUGUUUUCCUUUUUCCUAAAAAUAUUUGUCUAAACAAAAAUAUGAUUUCAGAAUUCUUAGAUUGAUUUGGGAAUUGAACAAGUAUUAUAAUUAUGGUUUCAAUCACAGAUUAAAUAUAAUUGAAUAUGGUUUUAUUAAAAGCAAAGCAAGCUUUAUGGCUAAUCUUAAAAGAAACUUAGAAGUUUAUUAGAGGGUUCGAUAAAGUUAUUAUGAGUCGUGAGUAUUUAAUGGUUCAUGUCCUUAUCUGUUUGAGGUAUUAUGAAGUGGAGAAUGAACAAGGAGAAUCGUAUCAUGGAAGUUGAGUGGAGAAUGGUGAUCGAUAUAUAGCCUUGAGAGUUAUGAAUGGAUAUUAAAGAGUUAAAAUGUUUUGCAGGUAGCAAGAGUUAGGUCUCAGUUCAGAUUCAAGGUUCGUAGAGUUCUCAAAUGGCCUUAUGUGUCCAAGGUUGGAUUGUGGAUUCGUCAAAUGUAAUUUAGUUCAUAGAGUUUGUUAAAGGGCUGUAUAAUUUCUUCUUAAAGCUUUUUAGUUUAUAAUUUGUGGGUUAUAUAU